rnacentral:rRNA from 1 species
CCUACGGGGGGCAGCAGUGAGGAAGAUUGGUCAAUGGGCUUACGCCUGAACCAGCCAAGUCGCGUGAGGGAAGACUGCCCUAUGGGUUGUAAACCUCUUUUGUCAGGGAGCAACGCCGGCUACGUGUAGCCGGACGGAGAGUACCUGAAGAAAAAGCAGCGGCGAACUCCGUGCCAGCAGCCGCGGUAAUACGGAGGAUGCGAGCGUGAUCGGGAUUGAUUGGGUUUAAAGGGUGCGUAGGCGGAAUGCCAAGUCAGCGGUAAAAUCGCGGGGCUCAACCUCGCUCCGCCGUUGAAACUGGCGUUCUUGCGUGGGCGAGACGUAUGCGGACUGCGUGGUGUAGCGG